GAGGGGAUAACUCAGUGGUAGAGUGCAUGCCUAGCAUGCACAAGGUCCUGGGUUCUUUCCCCAGUACCUCUA
rnacentral:tRNA from 1 species